AUCAUUUUCUGGAAAAUAUUUUCCUUCGUACCAAACACACCCAUAGUUGGAUGAUUGAGCCCCUAGAAUCCAUCUCUUUGAUGUUCUUAUCCACAGUGAAUCAAAUAUUGUCCAAAGAAGCCUUCUUUUUUUCCACUGCUUUCGAGGAAUUUUGAGAACUUUUUGCUUAAUAGGCAGAAAUUCUUUUAACACUUGUAAUGAGUUUAAUUAUACCAGUUAAGCAGUAAUUUUUCAUAGUAUCUUACAGUAUCAUUUCAGAUGCAAAAUGAAAGUGAAAAAGGGGGAAAGAAAAAUGACUGGGAUAAGAAAAUGACUCAAACUUUAAUUUGGUCAUAUGGCUUUAACUAGUAGUAUAACUUUACAGUUGGCUGUGGUACCAAUUUGUUUUCAUGAUCUUCAAUAUUCCAAAUGAUUUCUCCUCGAAUCCUAUGGUAUUUAAAAUCUGGAGUGAGAAAAAUAAAGAUGGUACCACCACUCAUCACUUAUUCUUUGAAAGGGAAUAAUUUAAGUUGGCAAAAAAUCCAUGCUGGUGGUAACGAAUAGUAAUAUCUACACUAAUUGUUCAAUUUAAACAAAGUGAUGGCGUUCUACUUUUAGCAGUUUUCUCUUGUAAUUUCAAGCUUUGUAUCCCUGAUGAAGAAAUUGUAUAGAGCGUAUAAUUGGCCGUUCCUUUGUAUUAUGAUAAGUAAAAUGGAUUUCAUGUAAUAUAAAUUGAUAUAUGAUCUACAGGCAUGUGUUCAUCAAUUGGUACAUUGUGUUGGUUAAUGAAUCCGGCCUUGUUUAAAUUCCCCUGUAUCUUGUGUGUGGAAUUCAUGUUAAGAAGGCUAAUUAUAUCAUUCAAGUCAUUAAGAUGUCCUCUAUAUAAAUACUAGUAGGAAAACUAUCUCUAUUUUUUUUUUUUUUUAGAUAUGAUCAGCAAAAUCCUUAACAGAAUUUCAGAGAGGCGUCAAGUUCCAACAAAUAGGGGAGGGGGUAGGACAAUUCUGAUCAAACAUAGGUACUAUUGAAUGGAGAAACUAUCACUGGACUUCUUGGUGAAAACUUUGUCUUUCACAUGCUGAAGGGAGAAGCCAACUUCACAAAAUUGCAAAACAUUUGCAAUGCUUUUACUGCAAAGCAGUGACGGAAUCUUACAAGUAGUCAAUCCCAUUGAAAGAGGCUCCUAAUUCCGUGCAAAAUAUUGUUUCAAAAUCAUCAAUUCUUUGGUCGGAAAUGGUUUUCAAGACAAUCACAUUCUUGGAAUGUAAUGUGUAAAGUUAAACGAAGAAGGAUCCUCAUAUCUUGUGGAAGAUUGGCUAGGGGGGGAGAGUGGUAAUUGGAUUAAUUAAUUUGAGACAUUUCUAUAACUUCUGUAAGGUUGCAUACCAAGGAACUUAAUUGCAACCGUCUUAAAUCCUUAUGAAUAAUCAAUGGUGCUGGGGAGGAUGGGAUUCUCAUCUUCCUGGUCUGGUGAUGAACACUAUAAACGUGAAGCAGCUAAUGCUGGAGCUGAAUGUUCCAGAUAGACCUAUUUGGACAACGUAACAAACACAUAGUGUCUUCUCAGUUGCAUCAGCUUGACAUCUCCUAAGAAGAAACAAUGCAAGUUAACUGGAUCGAUUUCAUGACUUGGCAAAAACUGGUAUCCUGAUCAAGAUGAAUUUCAUUGUCUGAGAGCCCUAAUAGAUAAGAUCAAGAUAUCUAGCCUGGGAGUUUCUAUUCCUUCUAGAUGUUGUUGUCGGAGGCAACUUAGGAUUGAAUCUGUCGAUCAUCUUUUCUAUAGGUCAUAAGUGUGCACAAAAGAUAUGGCACAACUCACUUUGUGCUCUUUUAGAAUUCUUUUUGCAGGUAUUUCUUACACGAUUAAUUGAUGGAGCUACAAAGUCGAUAAUCCAGUCAAAUCCCUUAUUGUCAAAUGUAUUCCAGCAGCAGCAGCAUUGGAGCUAUGGAAAUCCAGGUGUGAGGUUAAUAUGAAACUGAAAGAAAACUAUGACAACAGUUUUUCAAAGCAGAUUGCUUUCUCUAUUACUCAGCUAUUCAACAAUAUCUAUUUCAAGAAAACUACUUUUAUUAGAUGCAAUGAGCAUCAAACAUCCUUUGCUAAGCCGAACUCAGAUGGGAAUUGCAAUGUACAUAGAGGGGGGUGGUCUGGUCAGACACAAAGAAGAAAGCUUAUUAAUGUUGCUUACUCACUAGUGCUUUGUCCAGAAACUAGUACUUUGGCCAGAGGCAGCCUCAAUACUUUUCAGUACCAAUUGGUGUUUUAAAAAUGAAGUUGAAUACAUCGUUGCUGAGACUGACUCCAAACUGUUAGUGGAUUGAAUUAAUGGUCCGAAUACAAUUCUAUGGAGAAUUUUAAAGGAAGUAAAGAAGCUUAUAACAAACUAUGGACAACUCUAUCCUAUACAGCCCCAGGAUUUAUUCUCCAAUGCCGGUUACGAAAUCAUCUCAAGGGUGAAGGGCCUCAUGACUCUGGACAGAUGGAACCUGUCAGCUAUACACAUUUCUAACUGAAGGAAGGCACAUAUGACUUUUAUCCUUAUAGCUUGCUCAUAGUUAGACUUAGUUCUAUGCUUUUUAAAUUUUUUUGUAUAGGAUGAUACCUCACUUCUUAAGAUUAGAUGGCUUAUGCAUCAUCAUACCAAAUGCUAUUUACUACUUUAUUUCUUUUGUAUCCAACACUGAGUUUCUAUCUUCA